rnacentral:lncRNA from 1 species
GAGAGUUAAUUAGAGUGAGUAAGCCACAGUAUCUGGGUACAUCUUUCUUUUUAGCAUGUCAACAUCAAGUCCUUUCCGUGUCGCUUCCAAAAUCGUAACUGCGGGAUGCCUGUGUUUGCCACUAUUCCAGCGAGUGCUCUCGGAUCUAUCCUGUGAAGAAAAUGAAAUGUGUGUAAAUUAUGACGAGCGAUAUCCUGAUGGCUGGUAUAUCUGGUAAGGCUCUCUUCAAACUGUUUUAUAAAGCAUGUGGCUGUCUAUCCACACUUCACGCACACAUGAAAUAGCCAUGUCCAUCAAAUUUUGUCUCAUUACAGACAUUCUCUCCUGUCUCUGUCAUUUUUCUCCCUACCCCCAUGAGGAACACUGAACCUUGGGGACACAGGUAUGAUAUACUUGCCCAAUUCAGAUCUGCACACUCUAUAGUCUCUUUCUUUAUAAGCUGAUGAGUGAUUAGUUUAAGACUAGCGUCAGCAUCCUGGGGAAACACAGUUGAAGGAAAAUUGAGUGUAUAUAAGUCAAUAGCUACAGAAAUAUCAGUUUCAGGGGGCAGUGUUUGCUAAAUGCCUCCUAUGAUGAAGAAUGUACUGUUUUUAAGACUCAGAAUUUAUUCUAUAGCUAGAGUUUGUUAAUGAUAAAAUAAUUAUUCCCUCUUGAAAACUUUCUAAAUGAUUCUUCCACUUCUGGUUGUAAAAGCCAUCCAACAUAGCCAAAUGUAUCUUUAAUGAGAUAUUCCUCCAGAAUAUUUAAAACAGUUCUUCUAACUCCCUAAAUCCAAACUUGAGUAUUCUCCAAAAUUAACAUUAACAAGUCUGUUAAUAAAAUGUUUAAUUUCUCAAAGACAGAGACCCUAUGUUCUGUAUCUUGAAUCCUUAACCCCAAUAUCUCACAUAGGUAUAUUUGUUUAAAUACUAAUUGAUCAAAUAGAUAGAAAGUUGAAUAAAAGAAGAAGGAAACAACAAGGAAAAGAAGAUAAGAAGGAAAGAGUGGCUUCACAUUUUACAUUAACCCUCCAAUUUUCAAGGAACAAAUUAGUGCUACCAGCUAUCAGCACCAGCCCCCUCUGAGGACACUGGCAAUGCAGGGUGAUAGUGGAUUCCUCCAAGAACUUGACAUUGCCGUUUGCCUUCAUUUGCUUAACCAUAGCUGAGACCCUGUGUACUUCCCAGACAGUGGCAGACACUUGGACUCCUACACUCCUCCUCACUUCUCCUCUCUUACUUUUGGUGCCAGGUUCUUCUUGCUGAUUUUCUUAGUGGUUCUCCUUUGUGGAGUAGUGCUUUUCUGUCUUCAGUGCUGGCUGAAAAGGUGCGGAAUCAAUCCUCCCAGACGCACCAUGGCUGUUUUUGCUGUUGGAGACUUGGAUCCUGUUUAUGGUGCAGAAAUGGCUGGAAGUCCAACAUCUGGAAUCUGCCAUCCUACUCAAAACACUGAACUGUGCUCUGCUCCCUGCUUUGGUGCUUUAGGUCCUCCACCGCCAUAUGAAGAAAUUCUAAAAGCAAACUGAUUUUAUCCAGAUGCAGCAGCUAUAUUUGUAUAUACAGUGAAUUUUAGGCACAAUUCUUUGGCUUAGUUGAAAUUCCUGGAGACCUGCUGUAGAAACAAGCAGACAAAAGAGUGGAGGGGAUGGCAGGAAGAAACACUGGCCCUAGUGAUGUUUUAGUGAGCGAGCAGUCUCUGGAGCAUUGCUUUGUUACACUUUUAGACUAGAUAACUUGGCAUUUUAGUUCUUAAGGAGGCAGAAAUAGGUGCAAACACUUGCAUUAGUUUGACCUCCCACUGUCUUCCACAUGAUAUUUGAUGCCCUGACAUCUCCAUCUUCAUUCAGCCUCUACUAGAGAGUCAGUGUAAAAUAAAUAAUUUAACAGUGGCUCACACAUAGAUUUGGGUGUGGCUAGAGGGAGAAUAUUUGAGUUGAAUUUGAAAUGAAAGAAGAGGAAGAAAAUCCUAUUUGAAAUUGAUGGAGGAAAAUAAAUGAAAAGGAAGAGGAAAGAUCACAAGACUCAAUACGAGAACUUUUAUUCCCCACUGGAGCAGAGAGAAAGUGCACCAGGAAGCAGAAGAUGCCAAAGAUAUAAACUGUAGGUAAUGAUGCUGUGUGGAGAGUGGGGGAAGGGUCUCAUUGUCCUUGUGGAAUGUGAUCUCUAGAGCCUAGUCUUUCCCAGGUUCCUCAGGAUUUGCAUUUAUUGAAACAACAUAAGAAGAAAUUCUGUUUUAGAUGCUGCUUAACCAAGGCAAGGACAACAUUUAAUUGGGGCUGGAUUACAGGUUCAAAGGUUCAAACAAUUAUCAUCAAGGCAGGAAUGUAGAAUGACCAGGCAGGCAUGGUACAGGAGCUAAGACUUCUACAUCUUCAUCUGAAGGCUACUUUCAGAAUUGGCUUCCAGGCAGCUAGGAAGCCCAUACCUACAGUGACACACCUAAUCCAACAAGACCACACCUACUUCAACAUGGCCACACCUUCUAUUAGUGCCACUCCUUGGUCUGAGCACAGAUAACCCAUAACAGAUGCCCUUUUUCAGCUUGAAGUCUCUGACAGAAGUAGCAAUGAGAGAUUUCCAAGCAUCCCUUGGCAGGGGCAGAGGCAGGGGAAAGAAGAAAAAUUCCAUGCCAGAUUUCACACUAGGUAGCGAGUUUGCUUCAUAAAAUCAUGUACAAAUUCACCUGAUUGUUAAUUAAACUUAACUAAAUCU